GAUGAAGAACGUAGCGAAAUGCGAUAAGUAAUGUGAAUUGCAGAAUUCAGUGAAUCAUCGAAUCUUUGAACGCACAUUGCGCCCGUCAGUAUUCUGGCGGGCAUGCCUGUUCGAGCGUCAUUACGCCCCUCAAGUCCCCUGUGGACUUGGUGUUGGGGAUCGGCGAGGCUGGUUUUCCAGCACAGCCGUCCCUUAAAUUAAUUGGCGGUCUCGCCGUGGCCCUCCUCUGCGCAGUAGUAAAACACUCGCAACAGGAGCCCGGCGCGGUCCACUGCCGUAAAACCCCCCAACUUUUUAUAGUUGACCUCGAAUCAGGUAGGACUACCCGCUGAACUUAAGCAUAUCAAUAAGCGGGGA
rnacentral:misc_RNA from 1 species